rnacentral:lncRNA from 1 species
AAAUUUCCCAAAUACACCUUAACCCAGCUACUUGGGACUCCAAGGAUUCUCAAAUACCCUAGUUUGCUACAGCUGUCUUUCUCUCCUAAUACACCUUAACCCAGCUACUUGGGACUCCUCUCCACGCCUUCGAUGCCUUAACGGCGGGGAUGUACCGGAAGUUUCGCGCGCCGACCACGGAAUGGACCAGAUUUUUCCAGAGCGUCAAACCCUAACUGUCUGUCUUAAUUUUACCAAAAACUGUAGUCAUCUGAUAGUGCAAUCCCUUUUUCUAUUCUUCUGAUUUGUAUUUUUCCGGCUAGAUUUUGCGGCAUUUAACAGAUUUGAGAGUACAACUAUACAAUCGGAG